CUGGCUCCUAAACUUUAUCAACGAUUUCGUCAAGUUUGUGAGCAAUGGCCUGUGGAUAACACUACAUUUGGAAGAGACCUCGGUGCACAUAUCAAGGAGAACUUCGGGGCUAACAUGAAAAAUUCAAAAAUCGAGACCAUUGAAGCUGAAAAGUCAUGCUGGACAGUCUGGUGAAAAUUAGUUCCAACUAUACAAAGAGAAGCUAAUCUUAAGGCAAACUUAAAGCUUCGAUCAUGCUAGCUUCAAGCCACUCCAAACGCCAUUUGAUAAAGACUCUUCUUAUUUUGAAGAAACAGGAAGAAACCUCCGGACGAGCUCCCAUUUUGAGGACUGUUUGCAUUCCUGGUAUAACUUUUGAUCAAGCUGUAGGCCAAGAGGCAAAUCGGAUAAUUUGGUGCAGACAUUCUGGUUUGAAGGACAGAGGAUUUCUUUGGACCUUAGAUUGUUUAUCAAGAAAAUUGAUUCUGGAGGGAUUUUAGCCAAAGUUUGAAUUUUGAAGAAUUUUGAAGAUGUCCAGUUGAUUUUGUACGAAAUACUGUGACUGAAGUCUCCUACCUUUCCUAAUUUUAAGAAGGGAAAAACAAAAUUUACUGUAAGCCGUGAAAUACUGGACAGAUUGGCCUCAAACUCAUCCUAGACCCACGAGGAUCAAUACGAAAUAAGUAUCAAAAUCAAGGAAGAAAAAAAAACCAGCAUAUGGCAUAAGCUACUUACAAAGAAAUGAUGUUCAUUUGUUGGAAUAUUUACUCUCAGUAGAAUGGUACUGAGACUAUUCAUAUUACUGAGCAAAUCAUCUUCCUCUGAUUGUAUGAGCUAUGGUUGUCUGCUAAGCUACAAUUGGCUAAUGAAGAUUCCUGAGUAUAAUAUUUGAAGAAAUAUGAGAAAAAAACAAGGAUUAAGCAUAAUAAUAACUGAAGCUUAUACACGAAAGUAUCGUGAAUUAAGUAUAGAGUGUACGAUAUUUUCCUGUUAUAUGACUUCAAAGAAUAAACCAAGGAUACCAAAGGCUAAAACACUAUAGGGUGUGAACAAGGAAUAUAAUAAAUACGCAGGGGACGGAUCCAGGAAUUAUAGAAGGGGAGUGACUAUUACAAAGGUUUUACCAGGAAUUGGAGGAAAAGGGGGUGACUAUUACUAACAAUAUUCUGGGAAAGUUGAGCAAAAGAGGGGUGACUAGUCACCCCUUUUACCAUCCCUGGAUCUGCCCCUGAUACGAUACAGUUUUUCAUGUUGGGCGUAAUAUUUUCCCAAUUCAGAUCACGUGUUAUUCCCAAGAGUAUCGUUUCUCAUGAAAUUCCCUUGUCAACCAAUAAAUUUUACUGUAGAAGAAACAAAGCAUCUUAUCCUCGUAACAAUAGCACGUGGUCUGAAAUGGGAAGAUUCAUAACGAUGCAAACUGAAAAGCUUUAUCCAAUAGGAGGAGAUUUUGACAUAGGGAGAGAAAUCCCAUUUGAGGAAUGUAGUUCCGGGAUACAUUUUUCUGUAACGCAGGAUAAUUUUCCAUGUUGGUGAGAUUUCCCAUAAAUAUGACCCGGUCCCACAGAAUGGAUGAACCCUACAGUUUAAAAUUCCAAAAUUCUUCAUAAAAUUACACCAAAAGCUGCCUCUCGGGAAUCUUGUCUAUUUCUGAACUUUUCUGAUUCAUCGGCAAAUACAGCAAAUAUUUUAUUUGACGAAAUGACAGAGACUCUGGGAAACCCAAAAUUUUAAAGAUCUCUGAUUGGUUAGAAUAUUUUUUCGCGAUAAUAACUGGGUUACCUGUGAUAACCCCGGUCAUAAAACACCUUUAAUUUUCUAGUCCUGAUUCCUCCCCCACAAUAGACAAAGUGUGCAAUAAAACCUAGGGGUCUUCAGGAGCUUACCUAAAAACCUUUCAAUUAGCAUAUGCCAACUGUCGAUCAAUGUCACUUUGUUUCCAAGUGAUUAAGGUGGCUGCCUACUUUUGAACGUUCAA